ACCUUACAUUUUUGCAAUAGAGUGUAUGCAAACCAUAUACCACUACCUCAUAGAGGAAGAGAGGUUGUUUCAUCCUCAAGACCGCAAAACAGAAAACAACCAAAGAAACUAAAUCUAGUUACAAAGUUUAUGUAUUAUUAUUAAAUACAAGCAUCUCAUAGCUCUUCUAAACCUCUCUACAUAGUCUAUCCUCUCACUGAUUUCCUUCUGUAUCCACGUUGUAACAAAAUUUAUACUUAUAUGUAAGUUUCUGAACAAUCAAUAAUUUUUUGCUUGCCAAUUUUACUAAAUUCAUGUGUACUUUGGUUUAAAUAUUUUAAGCAUAAGCUAUAAGUACGUAUAUCUAAGUAAUUAAGAAGUUCAACCACUAAACAAUCAAUUAACAAGCUGACAAAAGUUGAAAAAAGGUUCUUAUAUUAAUUGUACUUUUCCUAUAUACUUUGUGAUAUUUGUUAACUUGACAGUAAAGAGAUUGGAUAUCUAUAUUAAAGAGAAUGGAUAUCUAUAUAGCUGCAUAGAGAACAAGAGCAUGAUAUUCUAUUUUAAGGAGUAACAACUUCUGAUAUUAACUCUCUUUUUCUUAUAAUAACCUUCAUAGAAUGCAACUAUGCCCUCGGUGAAAAGCCGAGGCACUGCAAAAAGCAAAAGGACUACCAUGAAACAG
rnacentral:lncRNA from 1 species